UACGUAGGGUGCAAGCGUUAAUCGGAAUUAUUGGGCGUAAAGGGCGCGUAGGCGGCCUGGCAAGUGACGGGUGAAAGCCCUCGGCUUAACCGAGGAACUGCCUGUCAGACUGUUAGGCUUGAGACCGGGAGAGGUGAGUGGAAUUCCCAGUGUAGCGGUGAAAUGCGUAGAUAUUGGGAGGAACACCAGUGGCGAAGGCGGCUCACUGGACCGGUACUGACGCUGAGGCGCGAAAGCGUGGGGAGCAAACAGG
rnacentral:rRNA from 1 species